GGAGAAAUGGCAGAGCGGUUGAACGCGGCAGUCUUGAAAACUGUUUUACCGUAAGGUAACGGGGGUUCGAAUCCCUCUUUCUCCGCCA
rnacentral:tRNA from 1 species